CCUACGGGUGGCUGCAGUGAGGAAUAUUGGUCAAUGGACGAGAGUCUGAACCAGCCAAGUAGCGUGAAGGAUGACUGCCCUAUGGGUUGUAAACUUCGUUUAUAUGGGAAUAAAACAGGGCAUGCAUACCCUCUUGUAUGUACCAUAUGAAUAAGGAUCGGCUAACUCCGUGCCAGCAGCCGCGGUAAUACGGAGGAUCCGAGCGUUAUCCGGAUUUAUUGGGUGUAAAGGGAGCGUAGGUGGAUUGUUAAGUCAGUUGUGAAAGGUUGCGGCUCAACCGUAAAAUUGCAGUUGAAACUGGCAGACUUGAGUACAGUAGAGGUAGGCGGAAUUCGUGGUGUAGCGGUGAAAUGCUUAGAUAUCACGAAGAACACCGAUUGCGAAGGCAGCUUACUGGACUGCAACUGACACUGAGGCUCGAAAGUGUGGGGAGCAAACAGGAUUAGAUACCCGAGUAGUC
rnacentral:rRNA from 1 species